CCCUUUGAUACUCUGGGCGGUACGCGCGCUACACUGGUUUAUAUAACGUGUAAUUUGGACGAUAGUCUGUAUAAAUCACUAAUAUAAAACCGUGAAUGGGGUAGUUUAUUGCAACUUACAAACUUUAACUAGGAAUCCCUUGUAGAAGUAGUGAAUUAUACUGCUUCGAAUACGUCCCUGCCGAUUGUACACACCGCCCGUCGUUUCUUCCGACUGGUACUCAUUGUGAAUUGCGAGGAGAUUCUGUCAAAUCGUUGUAAAUGCUGGGUAUUGGAGGAAGAAAAAGUCGUAACA
rnacentral:rRNA from 1 species